rnacentral:lncRNA from 1 species
GUCUUGAGUCUCCUUCAGACCAGCCCAGAAACCACCAUUCCAGAAACCAUUGAUGAGGUUGAUGUCUUGGGAAAAUGCCCUACCACAUAUGAGAGAAAAGGUUCACGACUCCUGAAGACAAAGGAUUUAAACCAGUGUUCCCUCCGACACCAUGGAUUUACUUUUCUUCAGUCAGAGGUUCUUCCAGGAAUGCCAUCGUCGCAGCCAAUCUUGGCUUCAAAGCUGGAAUGCUACCAGAGUUUCCAGGAAGGUCUGCUAGAGGACACAGCCUGCACAGAGUUUGACGUAGUCAGACCCUUCUCUGAGAAGGGGAAUGGUGUGCAGACAAGGACACAUUCCACCCUGAGUCUGCUGCAUGUGAAGCCCCAAGCCCUGUCCAACAAAGGUAACUGCUAUGUCCAGAC